UGAGCAUUCCUAAAACACAAACAAACUCCAUUUUCUCUUAAGGACACGUUGACUCCUUCUACUACAGGUGAGUAAGUCUCCCAAGGUCGAGCAUCCGGUAGAUUGCGUAGUAACGUCGUUCAUCUAAAAAACACAAAACAAACAUAAAUAGUUUAGCCGAACUACGGCAACUCUGAUUCUCAUGUUCAGAUGAGAUACGUAGGCACGAGAUGCGAUGUCUUGCGAGUUUGACUGACGACUAACAAUUAAUCCUUGUUGAUUUUCGCCCUCGUUGCGAUUCUUUUCUCUCGCCUUCGUUGCGAUUGAGACCUUCCUUUUCUCUUGCCCUAGUUGCAAUCGAGACCCU
rnacentral:lncRNA from 1 species